GGCUUCGUAGCUCAGCUGGUUUAGAGCGAGCGACUCAUAAUCGCUAGGUCCAUGGUUCAAGUCCAUGCGGAGCCACCA
rnacentral:tRNA from 1 species